AACAUCAGGGGAGGUAUAUAUAAUUUUGUAAAUUUCAAGGGAGGCUAGUGAUAUUGUCAGCAACCUCCCUGAGGUUUCUGAAAUUAUCCCUAAAAUUUAAAAGCCCCACCCGCUCUCAACAAUAAUCACCACUGUCCAUCAAAACAAACGAAACAUCGGCAGCAGCAGAGCAAACUCAGCUCUAAACUGCUAAAGCAAUGCAGUUGUAGUUGCAGUAGCAAGGAAGGAUUGCGAUCAUCACCAUCCAAUACACAAAAGCCACGCCCACGCAAUCCAAUGCUGAGCAGCUUUGCUUUUACUUUCCCAGACUCGGCCAAAUUACUCUUCGGCGUCCAUUCAGUCAAGCGGCGAACCACCUCUAGCUGACGCACUCAAUUUCCCAGAUGGCCAUAAACUCUCACUAACGGACGAACCUCACCUCCUCCACCUAGGUGGCAAAACCAGGCGCAGGCGCUUUCGUAGCGCCCUUAAAAUGCUAUCUCCAGACCAGUCACACCUUCAGACAGCAGCCACCAUGCCUAAGCACAACAGCCUCCUCCGCACCAAAACCUCGUCGUUUUUCUCCAGCUGCUUUCUUUACGCCGCCGGAACUUCCGCUUCCUUUUUGUUAGCCUGGGCCUUCUGGUCCUUCUUCAGUAGCCCCGCCCCAUCUGCGAAUCCCUCUUUCUCGAGGGGCCUAGCUUCCGAGGCUGCCCUCAGCUGCCCCGCCGGGAAAGCGGGUCACAACCGGAGCUACGAUCCGCCCGACCCGACUUUCUAUGACGACCCGGAAUUGAGCUACACCAUUGAGAAGACCAUCAAGAACUGGGAUGAGAAGAGGCGGGAGUGGCUCGAGAAGCAUCCCUCGUUCGCCGCCGGAGCAGCUGACAGGAUUUUAAUGGUCACGGGUUCUCAGGCGACGCCCUGCAAGAACCCGAUCGGGGAUCACUUGCUGUUGAGGUUCUUCAAGAAUAAGGCGGACUACUGCAGGAUCCACGGCUACGAUAUCUUCUACAACACCGUGCUGCUGCAGCCGAAGAUGUUCUCGUUUUGGGCAAAAAUGCCUGCCGUGAAAGCGGUCAUGUUGGCCCAUCCGGAGGCGGAGUGGAUCUGGUGGGUAGAUUCAGACGCAGCCUUCACCGACAUGGACUUCACGCUGCCGCUGGAUCGCUACAAGGCCCAUAAUUUAGUGGUCCACGGCUGGCCUCACUUGAUUCACAGGGAGAAGAGCUGGACGGGGCUGAACGCGGGAGUGUUUCUGAUGCGCAACUGUCAGUGGUCAAUGGAUUUCAUGGAAGAAUGGGCGAGCAUGGGGCCUCAAGCCCCGGAGUACGACAAAUGGGGCGUGAUUCAGCGGACGACGUUCAAGGACAAGACGUUUCCGGAGUCAGACGAUCAGACGGGGUUGGCUUAUCUGAUCCUGAAAGAGAGAGAGAAAUGGGGGAACAAAAUUUACAUGGAGGAUGAAUAUUAUUUUGAGGGGUACUGGAUGGAAAUCGUGGGGACGCUGGAGAACAUCACCGACGCGUACACGGGGAUCGAGAAGCGGGAGAGGAGGUUGAGGAGGAGGCAUGCAGAGAGAGUGGGGGAGAGUUAUGGUAAGGUGUGGGAGGAGCACCUUAAGGACGCUGGGUAUGGGAGGGGGAGUUGGAGGAGACCGUUCAUGACUCACUUCACGGGGUGUCAGCCUUGUAGCGGGGACCACAACCAGAUGUACUCUGGACAGUCUUGCUGGGAUGCGAUGCAAAUUGCUCUGAAUUUUGCAGAUAAUCAGGUGCUUAGGAGAUAUGGGUUCGUGCACCGGGAUCUAUUGGAUACGUCCACCGUCUUGCCUCUGCCGUUCGAUUACCCGGCAUCGGACCUUGUUGAAGGCGCUUCCUAGACAUAUUUUAUUCUAACCAACAGUUUCCUAGUUUUGUACCAUCACCGGAGGCUUUACGAGUAGUAUCAUUUUUUUUUUAUUUCUGAAACGAUUAGUAUCAUAUAGAAAGAAGGUGUUUGCGCUUUUCUAUUAUUCCGAUCAAGUGGCUGUAGUUAAGUGGAACGGAGAUAGCAGUAUUUGGUUAGUGAGUUUUGACGAAGCUAGCUCAACGUCGAAUGAACGAAUGAAUGAAUGGGAUGGGUCGCAGCAGCUCUUUUUAUGCCGGAAUUUGAUCUCAUUCUCGCUGUUGUGUUGUUGUCACCCACGCUUGUAACAUACUGGAAAAAGCCUUCACAAAACCAUCAUUCUGCUGCUAUGCGCCAGCGCUACUUUGAGCAAUGAAAUUCUCCUAUUUAAUAGUUGCACGACGCGUGCGACUCAGGAUGAAAGGUGUGGAUUUACUUUCCCAUUUUCGAAUUUCUUUGCCGUUGUGCUUUCUCGAACCCCAAUCUACGACAUAGAUGCUGUAACAAGUACUGCAACUUUGGCACGAAAAAAUCAACCCAAUGUAAUCUAAAGGUUCGGAGCGUUA